CAGUGGGGAAUAUUGGACAAUGGGCGCAAGCCUGAUCCAGCAAUGCCGCGUGAGUGAUGAAGGCCUUAGGGUUGUAAAGCUCUUUCGCACGCGACGAUGAUGACGGUAGCGUGAGAAGAAGCCCCGGCUAACUUCGUGCCAGCAGCCGCGGUAAUACGAAGGGGGCUAGCGUUGUUCGGAAUUACUGGGCGUAAAGGGCGCGUAGGCGGCCUGUUUAGUCAGAAGUGAAAGCCCCGGGCUCAACCUGGGAAUAGCUUUUGAUACUGGCAGGCUUGAGUUCCGGAGAGGAUGGUGGAAUUCCCAGUGUAGAGGUGAAAUUCGUAGAUAUUGGGAAGAACACCGGUGGCGAAGGCGGCCAUCUGGACGGACACUGACGCUGAGGCGCGAAAGCGUGGGGAGCAAACAGGAUUAGA
rnacentral:rRNA from 1 species